GCACUGCUGAGGAGUCCUAUAAUAGGACUAAACAGCAGUUCAGUAC
rfam:Schistosoma rodhaini strain Burundi genome assembly, scaffold: SROB_scaffold0003700